rnacentral:rRNA from 1 species
UGAACGCUGGCGGCAGGCCUAACACAUGCAAGUCGAGCGGAUGAAGGGAGCUUGCUCCUGGAUUCAGCGGCGGACGGGUGAGUAAUGCCUAGGAAUCUGCCUGGUAGUGGGGGAUAACGUCCGGAAACGGGCGCUAAUACCGCAUACGUCCUGAGGGAGACAGUGGGGGAUCUUCGGACCUCACGCUAUCAGAUGAGCCUAGGUCGGAUUAGCUAGUUGGUGGGGUAAAGGCCUACCAAGGCGACGAUCCGUAACUGGUCUGAGAGGAUGAUCAGUCACACUGGAACUGAGACACGGUCCAGACUCCUACGGGAGGCAGCAGUGGGGAAUAUUGGACAAUGGGCGAAAGCCUGAUCCAGCCAUGCCGCGUGUGUGAAGAAGGUCUUCGGAUUGUAAAGCACUUUAAGUUGGGAGGAAGGGCAGUAAGUUAAUACCUUGCUGUUUUGACGUUACCAACAGAAUAAGCACCGGCUAACUUCGUG